rnacentral:misc_RNA from 1 species
GUCCUGAAGUUUUAGGAAGAGCAUGGACUUUAUCAUAAGAGACACCAUUUGAGUUCACUACAACACCGUUCGGCUUCCUAUCCAUUUCUUAAUCUGUAAGUUCCCGUCCCAUCAAAUUGCAAAAAUUGCAAUAUUCUCAGAAUCCAAAUGCUUCACAAAAGCAACAUGUUUAGCUCAUAAAUUGAUAAUAAACUACUUUUUUUUGCGGCAAACAAAUAAAAUAAAAUAAACAGCCUAUAAAACAAAAGUUUACGAUUUCCAUGAAAUGUCAAGAGGUCAAAAAUUGCUCUAGUGGCUAUAGUUUAAAACAAAUAGAAACUGCCAAGUCACCUUUAACACUUUUAUCCAUAAUUAGAAGCCAAAUAAAUCUCUUUAUUUAAUUAAGUAAAAGAUAAACUAAAUGCAAUUUUAAGAAUGAAAUUAGAAAAUAUUUAUUGAAAGCCAACCGGAUGAGACUUGAAAAGACCAACAAGCGGUCAAUUCAAGUUGAAAACAGAAAUCGUUAACAAAAAUCUACCGAGUACAGGAGCGCAAGUAGAACUGCUAGAUCAUGACAAUAAAUUAAAUUAUAACUUAAAGAACAUCAAAAACUUGUUUGAAAUGCACAAAGCCACAGCUAAACAUAAAGAAAAAGAUGAAAUCUUGCUGGCUACGCUUAAUAUACAUAAAAGAUAAUAGCCGGAAAGGAUCAAUUACUCCAAAGGAUGCAUAAAUAGUUUGUACAAUACCACUAAGGUGAUCUUAUUUUUUUAUCUACUUUCACAAUUUCAUGUCAACAGAAGUGUUUUAUCACAUGCACAUAAAAUGAUCUUAAUGUCAAGUGAUAUUUUCUUUAUACCAUAUUAUUUUCACUAUGUUCCCAUGAAAAAUUCCAGAAGAGAAUUAAAAUAUGCAAAGAUGGUACAGAUCAAACCAAAGAAAUUAUGAUUAAAUAAAUUAAGAAACAAAAAGAAGAAGAUUAGAUUCGUAGAAGGUAAAAAAAUAAUAAUAAUUGAAGGAUGAAAAGGCGAAGUUCAAUUACUGGCUAGCACCCAAAAAUAACUUAGUUAAACACCCAAAAACCCAAAAUCCUUCCAAACUCAAGAAAUGAAUGAAAAAACCAUGAACGCAGACCGAAUACACCAUUAAAAAAAAGGGCCAGAGAAAGUAAGGGGAAAAAAAAACACAAGAAGAAAAACCAAAACAGCAACAAACAAAGGACCUAACUUCACAUCCAAACAGAUAAUUCCUCAGCACCCAGAAUAAUAUAGAGUGAGAGAGUACUUAAACCACCAAAAGAAAAUCAUUUCCAAUGAAGAAAUAGAACACCUCAAAAAUUACCCAAAAAGGAGGGCAAAGCUCAUUUAUAAGCCAACAGUAAGCUCAAAUGGGAAAAGGAAAAGCUAGCCAGAAAGCAGAAACCCAAAGGAAGGCAAUUCAAGACGCAGCACCUCAGAAACAGACAAUCAAAGAUUAAAUAAACAACCUUACAGAUCGAACCACAUUGCUUUUGUUCAAGAAAAUAGAGCCAUCGCCAAGAAGAAACAAACCAAAAAUAGUAAGAAUGUGAUAAGAUUUCUUACAAUUCCGGUCCGAUCUGAGAGGAUCCUGAGCUUCUCUCUUCCUCUCU